rnacentral:lncRNA from 1 species
GCGGCCGCAGAUCCCGGCAACUUGCGAACCGGGAAAAGUUUGCGGCGCCUCCGCGGGGCGGCGCGACGCGGCCCGCCCCUCGCGUCCGCGGUCAUCGCGGGUGACUUUCUCGACUCGUCGUCAGCCGGGGCCGCAGCGCGGCCGGUGGGGACUGCGGGGCGGGCCGGAGUCCGUCCGAGGGCUCCCGCACCUCGGGCUGCGGAUUUCAGGUACUCCACUGGGCAUUUUCUCUUCAUGGAGCUUAUAGCAACAAAAGUGUUUUACAAAAGAACAUUAAAAUCUCCCCAGAUGCUCACUGCUCUGAUCAUUUCCCCUACAGCACCAGACAUGUUGGCAUCAUCUCUUAGUUGGGCCAUGUGGCCAGGGAACCCUUCAUGAAACCACCUCUGCAGUCCUGGAGAGUUGCUGUAGAAGAAGGAAAAGAGAGGAAGACAACACAACACAGGAGGGGAUAAGUACCUCUGGACACAAUGGAAGUAGUAGUUGUUGAGCAGAGGGAAAGGGAUAGGAGAAGGAUGUGGACUGCAGUGCUGCAGUGCCAGGUAAUAACUUUGAUCAUGUACCUCCUUGGCUCAGGUGCUGUCUCUUCUACUCUCCUCCUUACUUGUACUACCUUAUUUAGCACUUAAUUAUAUACUUUCUUGACUCACUUUGAGACACACUGAUUAUGUGGUCUGCCUCAAAGACAGAAUCCUAGUUUUGGAUUUUAGCAUUACUGAUCUAUAGCCUUGCAGGGGCUUAAGGAUGGCAGCUGUCUCUCUCCCUUGGGAUCUAGCUUUUGCAAAUAUUGAAGGGAAGAGAUUUCUUUGAUCUUAUAGGAAUAGAUCCACAGUUCCUCUCCAGAUUUGCUUUUAUAGAGAAGUGUGUGUCACCAAAACAAUGGAGAUACGGUCAGAGAGGCCCCUACCCCCAGAAUUUUAAUAUAAUUUUACUUUCUGGGGCAUUUAUUCUUGACAAAUACUUUCUCUCCUAUCAGCUCACUUGUUCCUCACAAAAACCCUAUAAGAUAUUAAUAUUAUUAAACAGACCCCUAUGAAGCACCUCAAGUCUUUCUCUCUUCCCACUUCCAUUCUUGCACACCUUUUGCUAGACUAGUCUCUGCGUUCAUCACAUCAGGUUUCUAAAAUAAAAGUCCCCUAAUAACUUUCUAUUUGUUCUCUCAUCAUAUUGAACCUUUUUUGCCUGGCUUAUAAGGUGGCCUUAAAACCCCAUUUUCCUCUAAACAUUGUCUCUGUAGUUCAGGAAUAUGGCAGGCUCAACACUAUGCUUGAGCCCAUAUUGCUUCCCUCAUUAGUGAUGCCUCCUCUCAGACCACCCAGAUUCUACUCAUUCUUCAAUUUCCAGCUUCUCCUUGGAGCCUUCCCAGAUCAUUAGCUUCUUAAAAAUCCCAGCUUUCUCUGAAUUCUGAUGGUAGCCCCCGUUAUUUGGACAAUUAUGUCCUGGUCUUAAAGUCCUAAUGGGAAAAAAAAGUACAUGAUGGACUUCAUGUAGAGAAGAAAGCACUGGACUGAGUUUUAAGACAGCUGCUAAGGAGCUGUGUGAGCCAAACCAGGUUACUUUACCUCUCUGGAUCUAUAUUUGCUGAUCUGUUAAGUGGAGACAAUUGGGUCAGAUAAUCUUGGUGGUCUUUGCUUAUUCUGAGGUUCUUGGACAACUUGGCCUAGUUCACGUGGGAUGGGAUUGAAGAUCUUACUGAGUUCUUGGAUGGAAAUGUCAGUAAUGGGCACUUAGUGCCUUCAGGACUUGUUCUAUACUAUCCCAGAAAUUUCUGAUGCUAAACUUGGCAAUUUUUAAAUGUCAUAUUCCUUUUCUCCAAACUCUUUAACCACAAGAAUUCAGGGAAGGUUAUGGGGGGUGACUUAGUUAUCUGGAUAAUACAUAUUGUGGACAAUAUAGCAUUAUCCUUGGGAAUGAUUUCAUAUUGUUGAAUAAAUAGGAUCAACUUCUUGAUAAACCUUAGUCCCAAGCAUUUCAUCUUCAUUGGAUAGUGU